CUAAACUUAUACUUUUGAUUAGGAUCGGGAUUGAGAAAAAAAGCAGCAUGGCGCUGGAGCAGCUCGGAGAUCCGGUAUUUUUUUCAAUAGAUUGCAGUGAUUCAACGAAGUCAAGGUUUUUAUUUCGAUCUGCAGUGAAUGGUUACUCACCACGGAACGGAUCGAAAAUCUUGGCUCGAUCGGGCCGCCUACAGUUAAGCGAAAAAUGGCGAUGCACAGCAUAAACUGCUCGAGAGAAAAACAGUGAUUUGAAGAUCCCGAGCUGCAGCUGCAGAUCAUGAUCCGGUCAUAGUUAGCACCCGCGAAAAAAAGAUGUAAUGCCCAAACAAAAACCCGCUAGCAUAAUGAUAUGCGUCUACCUGCAUUAAAGCCUG